GAUCAUUACCGAGUGAGGGCCCUCUGGGUCCAACCUCCCACCCGUGUCUAUCGUACCUUGUUGCUUCGGCGGGCCCGCCGUUUCGACGGCCGCCGGGGAGGCCUUGCGCCCCCGGGCCCGCGCCCGCCGAAGACCCCAACAUGAACGCUGUUCUGAAAGUAUGCAGUCUGAGUUGAUUAUCGUAAUCAGUUAAAACUUUCAACAACGGAUCUCUUGGUUCCGGCAUCGAUGAAGAACGCAGCGAAAUGCGAUAAGUAAUGUGAAUUGCAGAAUUCAGUGAAUCAUCGAGUCUUUGAACGCACAUUGCGCCCCCUGGUAUUCCGGGGGGCAUGCCUGUCCGAGCGUCAUUGCUGCCCUCAAGCACGGCUUGUGUGUUGGGCCCCCGUCCCCCUCUCCCGGGGGACGGGCCCGAAAGGCAGCGGCGGCACCGCGUCCGGUCCUCGAGCGUAUGGGGCUUUGUCACCUGCUCUGUAGGCCCGGCCGGCGCCAGCCGACACCCAACUUUAUUUUUCU
rnacentral:misc_RNA from 1 species